AGGUUUGUUUGAGGGAAUUUGGGGCUUCCAGUUCACGCAUGCGGUCAAGAACUUCGCCGGAGAGAGUCAUCGCUUCCGAAAUCUGAAUUCGUCGUCCACAUCGAAGAAUUCCAAGGAUUGGUUUCACCACCUUACACAUUGACUUCAUGUUCGGAUUCAAUCGUUGAACCGAAUUCAUCUAUUUAUGUGCGCGUGGAUUAACGAGAUCGAGAUCGAAGGAAGAAGGGAACCUACCUGUUCGUUCCGACGCGGCUGAUAAAGAGGGAUGCGUUCCGUUGCGUUGAAGAUGAAGAACCGAGCAAUGAGAUAUUAUGGUAGAUGACGAAGAUUGAAGCUUUUUCCUUCGAACAAGGUUUUCUGUUUUGUGGCUUUUUGUUGGUUGGUGGUUAUAGCAGAGGGAGCGAAGAAUGGUGGUUGAGUGGUAGUGAUUGGAGGUUAUGCGUUAGAUGCAAGCGAGGCUCGGUGAGGAUGAAGAUUGAAGAAUUGCAGAAUGGAGUUUUGUUGAAGGUGAUGAAAAAUGGAGUCUGAGAUUGAUGGUGGAUGGAGAAGAUGGAAGAAAAACAAGCCAAAAAAAAAUCUGAACCGUGAAGGUUCAGUUAGAUGCGAGGGAAGAAGUUAAUUGAGCAAACGAUUUUUCCGGUUGGAGUUGAGCCCAGUUAGUGCAAUGGUUGCGUUUGCUGCAGCAGGCUUAUACGUUCGCGACGCUUGCUGCUGUUGGCUUCUGAAUUGUUGUUGCAGCUUUUGGAAGCUUGUUCACACGUUAAUGCUUUGCAUGUCAUGUUGUAACCCUGCAUUUGCAGCUUUUCCAAUGUAUUCUUUGAUAUGGCUUUUUUUCCUUUAUUUUCUUUAUGUAGAAUGUCAUUGGUUAAUGGUUUGGGUAAUUGAAAAAAACUGGACAUGGCUUAUUGGA